GAAAUUCACUAUAAUAAAUUCAAAAUAAAGUAUUUUUUAUAUAAUUUAAUUCACCAUAAAUUGUAAAUAAAAAAAGAAACUUGACGCCAAAAUAUCAAGUGGUGCUAUGCAAUGCCUACACUGCAACUUGGAAAGGCAGUUUGCUUCUUCAGUUGAAAUAACGUUUCUUUCAUAAUGAAAACAUAGUUUCGCAUUGGAUUGGAUAGGGGUAGAACAGUCCAAGAAACUAUGUUAAAAAGUUAAAUUUUAGUUAGAUAAACGGAUUAAAAAAAGCAAUUCUAUAAAAUAAAGAAUCUCCGCAUAACAAUUACUCUUCUUACCUGAAGCACUCUUUCUUUCUACGGGCAGCGGAAAUGGCUACUCCUCUCAGAAGCAACAGUUUGCUGUCCAUUGCCAUUGAGAGAACAGGCCAAUGGGUUUUUUCUCAAGAAAUUCCAACAGAUGUUGUGGUUGAAGUUGGAGAAGCCAGUUUUGCUCUCCAAAAGUUCAUGCUGGUGGCAAAAAGCAACUACAUAAGGAAAUUGAUAAUGGAAUCAACAGAACCAGACCUGACAAGAAUCAAUCUCUCAGAUAUACCUGGAGGCCCUGAAAUGUUUGAGAAAGCAGCAAAAUUUUGCUAUGGAGUCAACUUUGAAAUCACUGUUCAUAAUGUUGCUGCUCUUCGCUGUGCUUCUGAAUAUCUCCAAAUGACUGAUUUAUACUGCGACAAUAACCUCGUUGGUCGCACAGAAGAUUUCCUUUCUCAGGUUGCCUUGCCUAGCCUCUCUGGCGCGAUUGUCGUCUUGAAAUCGUGCGAAGAUCUUCUUCCCAUGGCUGAAGACCUUAAAAUUGUUCAGAGAUGUGUAGAUGUCGUCAGCGUUAAGGCCUGUAAUGAGGCUAACUUUCCAAGCCGAUCGCCGCCUAACUGGUGGACAGAGGAGCUGUCUAUUUUAGAUGUAGAAUUUCUGGGGAAAAUCAUUUCUGCAAUGAAGAAACGGGGAGCCAAAGCACUAACCCUAGCGAAUGCUCUCGUUACUUACACAGAGAGAAAUCUUCGAGAUCUGGUUCGAGAUCAUUCUGGCAACGGCACCAAGUCUUUGGAUCUUGACGACUCCGAUCUCAGGAGCCGCCAACGGGAGCUUCUACAAUCAAUAGUCUCUCUUUUGCCUUCUGAGAAAGCUGCUUUUCCGAUAAACUUUCUCUGCUGCCUUCUGCGGUCUGCCAUCUUCCUCAAAGUCUCCAAUUCCUGCAAGAACGAGCUGGAGAAACGAAUCUCCGCAAUAUUAGAGCACGUUACGGUGGAUGAUCUUCUGGUCUUGUCUUUCACUUAUGAUGGUGAGAGACUCUUUGAUCUAGAGAGCGUGAGGAGGAUCAUAUCUGGGUUCGUGGAGAAGGAAAAAACCAUGGCUGUCUUCAGCGGUGGCGAUUUCAAGGAUAAUUGUUCUACUGGGAUGCAGAGAGUUGCAAAGACCGUGGACGUCUAUCUCGGCGAGAUCGCAACCUAUGGAGAACUCAGUAUCUCCAAAUUCAAUGGAAUCGCCAUUCUAGUUCCAAAAGGAGCUAGGAAAGUCGAUGAUGAUCUCUACCGUGCCAUUGAUAUCUAUCUGAAGGUAAUUCAAUUUUUUUUUUUUUGGUACUGUAAUUGGAACUCGAGAUCUCACAGUUAUAGAGAAACUCUAGGGUCACUGAAUAUCAUCUUCUGCAAACAUUUGACAACUAAACUGUUAUAUUCAUGUUAUGCAUUAUGAGUUAAGCAUUUGAUCACUGACUAUUACGCAUUAUGAAUAUAAAAGAUAAUGAAUCACUAGACUGUUAUCAGCAUAUUGCAUUAUGAGUCAGCCAUUCAAUCACCAAACUGCUAGUUAUUUUGACUUUCAGGCUCAUCCGAACCUCGAUGAGAUAGAGCGAGAAAAGGUGUGCAGUGUAAUGGACCCAUUAAAGCUUUCCUACGAAGGUCGACUUCAUGCUUCACAAAACAAACGGUUGCCUGUACAGGUUGCUUUGCAUGCCCUAUGCUACGAUCAGCUGAAGCUAAGAAGUGGGGUAGAUGAACGCAGCACCCCAGAAGCUGGCGUUGGAAAUACGAGAGAUCACUUGCGGAAGGAUGUGUCUCUGAUCAAGGAGAACGAGGCUUUGCGGUUGGAGCUCAUGAAGAUGAAGCUUCUUAUGUCAGAUAUGCAGAAGAACAACAAUAAUCAAGGGGCAUCUAGCAAGCGUGGCCCUUGGAAGAAGCCCACCUUCUUCUCAUCACUGUCCAAGACUUUGGGGAAGUUGAAUCCUUUCAGAAAUGGGUCUAAGGAUACUUCUCAUAUUGAUGAGAGUGUGGAAGUGGGCAAUACCACGCCAAGGAGGAGAAGGUUCUCUAUUUCUUGAUCGUUGGAUGUCUUUUAAAUGAUAUGAAAAAUUAUUUAUCCCUACUCAUGUAUAUUAUUAAUCUUCUGUUAAACUUAAUUUAGCAUAAAUUCAAGAAAGAAUAUUAUAUGAUGAAAUUUAAAUGUAAAAUUAGUAAAAUUUACAUAUUGAUAUCUUAGAUUCAUGAUAAAUCAUAUCUAAAUAAGUUAUACUCAAACUAAUAAAUUUCCAUUAAAAAUCUUAGUAAUA
rnacentral:misc_RNA from 1 species